CGGACGGGUGAGUAACGCGUGGGCAACCUACCCCACACAGGGGGACAACAGUUGGAAACGACUGCUAAUACCGCAUAGGCGCACAGCUUCGCAUGAAGCAGUGUGGAAAACCGAGGUGGUGUGGGAUGGGCCCGCGUCUGAUUAGCUGGUUGGCGGGGUAACGGCCCACCAAGGCGACGAUCAGUAGCCGGCCUGAGAGGGUGGACGGCCACAUUGGGACUGAGACACGGCCCAAACUCCUACGGAAGGCAGCAG
rnacentral:rRNA from 1 species